rnacentral:rRNA from 1 species
GAACCACCCAAACGUUAUUCGGAAUUACUGGGCUUAAAGGGUGCGUAGGCGGUGCGGAAAGUCAAGUGUGAAAGCCCUCGGCUCAACCGAGGAAUGGCGCUCGAAACUACCGCGCUCGAGGAAGACAGAGGUAAGCGGAACAGCGGGUGGAGCGGUGAAAUGCGUUGAUAUCCGCUGGAACACCGGUGGCGAAAGCGGCUUACUGGGUCUUUUCUGACGCUGAGGCACGAAAGCCAGGGUAGCGAACGGGAUUAGAUACCCCGGUAGUCCUGGCCGUAAACGCUGAGCACUUGACGGGAGACCCCCCCAUAGGUUUCCGGUCGUAGCGAAAGUGAUUAGUGCUCCGCCUGGGGAGUAUGGCCGCAAGGCUG